rnacentral:misc_RNA from 1 species
GAUGAAGAACGUAGCGAAAUGCGAUAAGUAAUGUGAAUUGCAGAAUUCAGUGAAUCAUCGAAUCUUUGAACGCACCUUGCGCUCUUUGGUAUUCCGAAGAGCAUGCCUGUUUGAGUGUCAUGAAAAUAUCAACCUUGACUUGGGUUUUGUGCUCUAGUCUCGGCUUGGAAUUGGGUGCUUGCCGCUUUUACGAGCGGCUCACCGUAAAUGUAUUAGCUGGAUCUGUCUUUGAGACUUGGUUUGACUUGGCGUAAUAAGUAUUUCGCUAAGGACAUUCUUCGGAGUGGCCUCGUUUCUAUGACGCUUGUCCGCUUUCCAAUACAAGUUCCACCUCGUGGACAUGACUUUUUAUUAUCUGGCCUCAAAUCAGGUAGGACUACCCGCUGAACUUAAGCAUAUCAAUAAGCGGAGGA